GAUGAACGCUGGCGGCGUGCCUAACACAUGCAAGUCGAACGGAGCUGCUUUGAUGAAGUUUUCGGAUGGAUUUAAAACAGCUUAGUGGCGGACGGGUGAGUAACGCGUGGGUAACCUGCCUCACACUGGGGGAUAACAGUUAGAAAUAGCUGCUAAUACCGCAUAAGCGCACGGUUCCACAUGGAACAGUGUGAAAAACUCCGGUGGUGUGAGAUGGACCCGCGUCUGAUUAGCCAGUUGGCGGGGUAACGGCCCACCAAAGCGACGAUCAGUAGCCGGCCUGAGAGGGUGAACGGCCACAUUGGGACUGAGACACGGCCCAAAACUCCUACGGGAGGCAGCAGUGGGGAAUAUUGCACAAUGGGGGAAACCCUGAUGCAGCGACGCCGCGUGAGUGAAGAAGUAUUUCGGUAUGUAAAGCUCUAUCAGCAGGGAAGAAAGUGACGGUACCUGAAUAAGAAGCCCCGGCUAACUACGUG
rnacentral:rRNA from 1 species